UUCACUUUAUGGACUGUAAUCUCUUAUAAAUUCUCACUUCUACCCUUUCAAUUCAAAUCUUUGCAAUAAGCCUCUCCGCCUCGACUUAGUUCUUCAACUUCCUUAUUAGUUCUCUCUUGUUUUGAUAAAUAUUUUUUAAAUAGCACUCUCUCCGCUUCUCUUCAUCCUCACUCAUGGUUGUCUUCAAGCUCGAUUCGUGUCUGUCUUCUACAGUUGGUGGUCAGUUUUCCAUUUACUCCCUUUAUAUAUAACUUUUGUAGAAUUACUCUAUAAUAACUUUUGUAAUUAUUAUUAUUUUUAAUAUAUUCACAAAUUAAUAAUAAAAAAUUUUAUUAUACAGUUGGUUCAAAUUCAGACCGAAGAGUGUGCGAUACCAAAUCAGAUCGAUUUGAUUUAUUUUGAUUUUUCUGAACCAAAUAAUCUAUUUUGAAUGUAAAAAUCGUUCCUUAUCACUAUUAAAAUUGCAUGGUAAUUGAACUCUUAAAAUCUUGAUCGAACCAAACCGAAAUGAAUUCACUAUGAUAAAUUUCUCCAUUUAAUUUCUCAAAUAUGAGUGUACUUUGAUUAUCAAGCUUCAAAUUUCAAUUGAUGAAGGAUUUUAAUUAUUUGAGAAGUCUUUAUUGUUUAAUUAUAUAUUAAAAUUCAUAUUUAGUUUAUGAGUUCCAAUUAAUUGACUUAAUAUUAUUAGAGUUGUAUCUUAAUUUAAUUUUCGUAUUCUAUUUGAAUUACGAAUCCUGUAAGAAAGUGUUAAAAUUUUUAUAACAUCCCUCCUAAAAAGCCAAUGAUAAAUAUAAAUCGACUAUAUAAUAUGAUAAACGAAUAAAAAUUUGUCGAGUGAAAGACCUAAAACUCUCCUGUAGUGACUCUGCCCUCCUACGGUUAGAGAAGCAGACAUGGUUACCUCAUUUGGUUUUGUAAAC
rnacentral:lncRNA from 1 species